rnacentral:rRNA from 1 species
AGAGUUUGAUCCUGGCUCAGGAUGAACGCUGGCGGCGUGCCUAACACAUGCAAGUCGAGCGAUUUACUUCGGUAAAGAGCGGCGGACGGGUGAGUAACGCGUGGGUAACCUGCCCUGUACACACGGAUAACAUACCGAAAGGUAUGCUAAUACGAGAUAAUAUGCUUUUAUCGCAUGGUAGAAGUAUCAAAGCUUUUGCGGUACAGGAUGGACCCGCGUCUGAUUAGCUAGUUGGUAAGGUAACGGCUUACCAAGGCGACGAUCAGUAGCCAACCUGAGAGGGUGAUCGGCCACAUUGGAACUGAGACACGGUCCAAACUCCUACGGGAGGCAGCAGUGGGGAAUAUUGCACAAUGGGCGAAAGCCUGAUGCAGCAACGCCGCGUGAGCGAUGAAGGCCUUCGGGUCGUAAAGCUCUGUCCUCAAGGAAGAUAAUGACGGUACUUGAGGAGGAAGCCCCGG